rnacentral:rRNA from 1 species
AUGAUGGAAUACAGCAGGGAGGCCGAGCAGGCGUCGGAGAUGCGGGUCAGGCCACUGCCGCCGCUCACCCAUGAGGACAACCGCCGAUUCCUCGAGAUGCUCCGCGAGAAGAAGGAAAGGCUGGGGUUCGGCGCCGAGAAGGUGGAGGUGCGGUUCGAGGAGCUGACCGUGGAGGCCGACGUGCAUGUGGGCCACCGCGCGCUGCCGACGCUGCUCAACUGCGCCGUCAAUGCCGCCCAGAAAUUGGCAACAUGUUCACACAUGUGUACUACAAGAAAAAAACCCAUCAAAGUCAUAAAUGGAGUGAGCGGGGCAAUUAAUCCAUCACGGAUGACCCUUCUUCUAGGAGCACCAGGUUCCGGGAAAACAACUUUUCUAAAAGCAUUGGCAGGAAAGUUGGAUUCUUCUUUGAAGCUCGGAGGAAAGGUCAUGUAUAAUGGAGAAGAAGUGAAUUCCUCAACACCUCAAUACUUGCAUGCAUACAUUAGCCAGUAUGAUCUUCACCAUGCGGAGAUGACCGUUAGAGAGAUGAUUGAUUUCUCUUCAAAGAUGUUGGGAACCAAUAAUGAAUUUGGGACGUUGGGACAAGGAAUGGGAAGGAAAAAUGGAGACAUUAAUAAAGUGGACCAAUAUCUCGGCACAUCUAUGAAGGCUACUACCUUUGGAGAAGGAAGCAACCUUACAACAAACUAUAUUAUCAAGAUACUUGGUUUGUCCGAGUGUGCUGAUACCCUAGUGGGGGAUGAGUUGAGAAGAGGCAUAUCAGGAGGACAAAAGAAAAGGGCCACAAUAGGAGAGAUGCUAGUUGGUCUAGCAAGAUGCUUCUUUAUGGACGAUAUUUCAACAGGUCUAGAUAGCUCCACUACAUAUGAGAUUGUAAAGUUCCUCCAACAAAUGACUCAUCUGAUGGAUCUCAGCAUGGUUAUGUCCUUAUUGCAACCAUCUCCUGAGACGUUGGAAUUAUUUGACGACAUAAUUCUAUUAUGCGAGGGUCAAAUUGUAUAUCAUGGUCCUCGAGAAAAUGCUAUUGAUUGUUUUCAAAUGAUGGGAUUCAGAUGCCCCAGUAGGAAGAAUGUAGCCGAUUUCCUUCAAGAGGUGACCUCAAAGAUGGAUCAAAGGCAAUACUGGAUUGGUGAUGAAAAUGUGUAUCAAUACUGGCCAAUAGAAAAUAUAGCAGAAUUCUUCUAUUCAUCUUAUCUCCCUCGACUUGCAGAAAACAACAUGACAAACAAUAGAGGAAAUGACAGGGAGAUCAAAACAAACGCAAAUCACGGUAUCUCUAGAUGGAAUAUUUUCAAAGCAUGCUUUUCAAGGGAAGUACUGCUUCUCAAAAGAAACUCCCCACUUCAUAUAUUCAAGACUGUACAGAUAAUUAUUCUUGCUUUUGUCAUCUCAACGGUUUUUAUUCGAGCAAAUAUGAAUCAUAAGACUAUACUUGAUGCCAAUAAGUAUAUGGGAUCACUCUUUAUGGCUAUUGUGAUAGCAAACUUUAAUGGCAUGACAGAAAUUGCAAUGACAAUGAAGCGACUACCAACUUUCUACAAGCAAAGAGAGUUACUAGCAUUGCCAGGAUGGGCACUUCUUUCUUCGAUUUACAUCAUCAACCUACCAAUGUCACUUAUAGAGACGGGUCUCUGGACCAGCUUAACCUACUAUGUGAUUGGUUACUCACCUUCCUUUGUUAGAUUCACCCAACAAUUUUUGGUACUUUUUGCCAUGCAUCAAAUGUCAAUGGGCCUCUAUCGUUUCUUAGCGGCAAUAGGAAGGACACAAGUAAUGUCCAACAUGCUAAGUGUCGUAAUUCUUAUAGCAAUCUACAUAUUUGGAGGCUUCGUCAUAUCCAAAGAUAAUCUCCAACCAUGGUUGCAGUGGGGGUAUUGGGCAUCCCCAUUCACAUAUGCACAAAACGCAGUUGCCCUAAAUGAGUUCCUUGAUGAAAGAUGGGCUACUGAACUUUACUAUGAAAAUGCUAAAACAGUUGGUGUAGCUAUCCUCAAGAUCAGAGGGUUGCUCACAGAGUGGCACUGGUACUGGAUUUCUGUCAUCAUUUUAUUUGGAUUCUCAAUUGUGUUCAACAUCCUCACUAUAUCUGCGCUGGAGUUCAUGAAUUCUCCACACAAUCAUCAAGUUAAGAUCAAUGCCACGAAGAUAAAUAUGGAGUACAAGAACCAAAAAGUUGGAAAUGUCAAUGCAUCAAGUACCCAAGUUACCCUCCCUUUUCAGCCUCUUUCCCUUGUAUUUUAUCAUAUAAAUUAUUUUGUCGACAUGCCAAAGGAGAUGAUGAAGUAUGGAGUAACAGGAAAAACUAUUCAGCUGCUACACGAUGUGGGUGGCGUUUUUAGGCCAGGGGUGUUAACGGCGCUAAUGGGGAUCACAGGUGCUGGAAAGACAACGUUGCUCGAUGUUUUAGCUGGAAGAAAGACUGGAGGACAUACUGAAGGUACUAUUAGAAUAGCAGGAUACCCAAAGAAGCAGGAAAUAUUCUCGAGGAUCUCAGGCUAUUGUGAACAGAGUGACAUUCACUCCCCUAAUCUCACUGUAUAUGAGUCACUACAGUUCUCUGCAUGGCUUCGACUUCCUUCGAACGUUAAAUCUCGCCAAAGACAUAUGUUCAUAGAAGAAGUAAUUGACCUGGUCGAAUUAACUGGACUGAAGAAUUCCAUGGUAGGUCUCGCGGGAACAACUGGUCUUUCAGCUGAGCAGCGAAAAAGACUAACAAUAGCAGUGGAGCUGGUAGCUAGUCCUUCCAUUAUAUUUAUGGACGAGCCGACCACUGGUUUGGAUGCUCGUGCUGCAGCAAUUGUCAUGAGAACAGUCAGAAAGACAGUAGACACUGGGCGAACUAUUGUCUGCACAAUACACCAACCAAGCAUUGAGAUAUUUGAAGCUUUUGAUGAGCUUCUACUCAUGAAAAGAGGCGGUCAGAUCAUAUACAGUGGUUCAUUAGGUCCACUAUCUGACAAUAUGAUCAACUAUUUCCAGGCUAUACCUGGUGUUCCUAUAAUAAAAGAGGGACAAAACCCAGCAGCAUGGAUGUUAGACAUAACUUCACAAUCAACGGAAUAUACGAUUGGAGUGGACUAUGCACAGAUUUAUCGAAACUCCUCCCUAUACAUCAAUAACAUGGUUCUAAUUGAUGAGCUGGGGAAACCAGCGCCGAACGCAGAGGAUCUACAAUUUCCAUCAGGAUAUUGGCAAGACUUUAGAGCACAAUGCAUGGUUUGCCUAUGGAAGCAAAUAUAUGCAUAUUGGAAAAAUCCAGAACACAAUCUUGUUCGGUUUCUGAACACAUUGGUUCUUUCAAUUAUGUUUGGAAUUGUAUUCUGGAAAAUUGGCUCAACCAUAGAACAACAACAAGACAUAUUCAACAUACUGGGAGUUGUAUAUGGAUCGUCACUAUUUUUGGGCUUUAUGAAUUGCACCAUAUUACAACCAGUUGUAUCAAUGGAGAGAGUUGUUCUUUAUCGAGAAAAGGCAGCGGGCAUGUACUCUACAUUGGCUUAUGUCAUAGCUCAGAUGGCAAUUGAAAUGCCUUACAUGCUUGUCCAAGUUGUCAUGUUUGCGUCAAUCGUAUACCCAAUGAUUGGGUUCCAGAUGACCAUGUGCAAGUUCUGUUGGUUUGUAAUAUACAUGGCACUAAGCUUGGUGUACUACACACUCUUCGGAAUGAUGACAGUGGCACUGACACCUAACCUUGAGACAGCUGCCGGAUUGUCCUUCCUUAUCUUCAUAUUUUGGAAUGUCUUCUCGGGCUUUAUCAUCGGAAGAGAGCUGAUCCCAAUAUGGUGGAGGUGGGCGUAUUGGGCUAACCCAGCGGCAUGGACAAUGUAUGGGCUCAUGUUCUCCCAGCUGGGUGACCGAACGGAGCUGAUCCUUAUGCCAGGGCAGGCAAACCAGACUAUUAAGGAGUUCAUUGAGGGCUACCUUGGACUUGAGAGCCGCUACUUCAGUCUUGUCACAUGCCUGCAUCUGACCAUCAUCGCCCUCUUCGCCUUCCUCUUCUUCAUCUUCAUCAAGCAACUGAAGUUCCAACGGAGGUAA